rnacentral:rRNA from 1 species
AGAGUGAACGCUGGCGGCAGGCCUAAUACAUGCAAGUCGAACGGCAGCACAGCAGAGCUUGCUCUGUGGGUGGCGAGUGGCGGACGGGUGAGGAAUACAUGGGAAUCUGCCCAGUCGUGGGGGAUAACGUAUGGAAACGUACGCUAAUACCGCAUGCGCCCUUCGGGGGAAAGCCGGGGACCUUCGGGCCUGGCGCGAUUGGAUGAGCCCAUGUCGGAUUAGCUAGUUGGCGGGUAAAGCCCACCAAGGCGACGAUCCGUAGCUGGUCUGAGAGGAUGAUCAGCCACACUGGAACUGAGACACGGUCCAGACUCCUACGGGAGCAGCAGUAGGAUAUUGGACAAUGGGCGCAAGCCUGAUCCAGCCAUGCCGCGUGUGUGAAGAAGGUCCUUACGGGUUGUAAAGCUACUUUUUAGUCCGGAAAAGAAAGCACGUGGUAGAAGUACCCGUGGUGUCCGUGAACGUACCGGAAGAAUAAG